rnacentral:tRNA from 1 species
CAUUAGGUGUCUGAAGUUUAAGGAGUUGAUUUUUUAAAUCAAAUUAUGAUAAUAAAUUAUCCCUAAUGA